rnacentral:miRNA from 1 species
CACGUGACUGUUCCUUUCAAA